rnacentral:lncRNA from 1 species
UGAAGAUGAUGGAAUCAUUUUGAUAAUUGAGGGUAAGGAACUAUAGUCAGCAAUGCAUAUUGUUGAACUGCUCCUCCAUUCUAGCACACCACUAAAGUCUGCGAUAAACGUCUUUGCUAAACCAAUUAUCCACAAGAAAUCAUAAAAUUGUGGAACAAGCGGAGGACAACCAUAAAAAAUUUGCGAACACCUUUGUCCACUAGAUACCAUGAACAUUCGUUCUGGAAUCAAGAGCAUGAACAUUAUACUGAACUUAUUGUCAUUUAGUACCCCUGUAAUUAACUGUAUUAGGGUCCGAAAUAGAGG